CUGCCUCGUUGGACUUAGUCACCACGUAAACACCACGUGGCAAUAACUGUCAAUCGUGCAAGCAACGCCGCAUUCGCUGACUGACCUCACGGCAGGAAUGCAGCGGCUGCAGCAAAUUGGGAUACAUCGCCAUCGCGUGCCACGG